UUGUUUUUUAGUGCUUGUAGUCUGAAAAAACUCAUAUAUCUUCAGUGUUCUCAUCAGCUUCGUCUCAUCUUUAUAACCAUGAGGCUAGAGUUAAACAAGUACACUACAUUA
rfam:Capsella rubella cultivar Monte Gargano unplaced genomic scaffold scaffold_1, whole genome shotgun sequence.